AUUGAACGCUGGCGGCAGGCCUAACACAUGCAAGUCGAGCGAGCGGCGGACGGGUGAGUUAUGUCUGGGCAACUGCCUGGUGGAGGGGGAUAACUACUGGAAACGGUAGCUACUUCCGCAUACCUUCACCUGUGCCCAGGUGGGAUUAGAUAGUGGGGGGGGUAAGGGCUCACCUAGGCGACGAUCCCUAGCUGGUCUGAGAGGAUGACCAGCCACACGGGAACUGAGAAACGGUCCAGACUCCUACGGGAGGCAGCAGUGGGGAAUAUUGCACAAUGGGCGCAAGCCUGAUGCAGCCAUGCCGCGUGUGUGAAGAAGGCCGUCGGGUUGUAAAGCACUUUCAGCGAGGAGGCGUUACUCGCAGAAGAAGCACCGGCUAACUCCGUGCCAGCAGCCGCGGUAAUUC
rnacentral:rRNA from 1 species